rnacentral:rRNA from 1 species
CCGACGGUGAGGGGCGAAAGCUGGGGGAGCAAACCGGAUUAGAUACCCGGGUAGUCCCAGCUGUAAACGAUGCGCGUUAGGUGUGUCAGUGACCACGUGUCACUGAUGUGCCGAAGGGAAACCGUGAAACGCGCCGCCUGGGGAGUACGGUCGCAAGGCUGAAACUUAAAGGAAUUGGCGGGGGAGCACCACAACGGGUGGAGCCUGCUGUUUAAUCGGACUCAACGCCGGAAAUCUCACCGGAUAA